rnacentral:rRNA from 1 species
GACGAACGCUGGCGGCGUGCUUAACACAUGCAAGUCGAGCGAUGAAGCUCCUUCGGGAGUGGAUUAGCGGCGGACGGGUGGGUAACACGUGGGUAACCUGCCUCAUAGAGGGGAAUAGCCUUCCGAAAGGAAGAUUAAUACCGCAUAAGAUUGUAGUUCCGCAUGGGACAGCAAUUAAAGGAGUAAUCCGCUAUGAGAUGGACCCGGGUCGCAUUAGCUAGUUGGUGAGGUAACGGCUCACCAAGGCGACGAUGCGUAGCCGACCUGAGAGGGUGAUCGGCCACAUUGGGACUGAGACACGGCCCAGACUCCUACGGGAGGCAGCAGUGGGGAAUAUUGCACAAUGGGGGAAACCCUGAUGCAGCAACGCCGCGUGAGUGAUGACGGUCUUCGGAUUGUAAAACUCUGUCUUUGGGGACGAUAAUGACGGUACCCAAGGAGGAAGCCACGGCUAACUACGUGCCAGCAGCCGCGGUAACAC